AAAUAUUAUAUGUUCACAAUUUAUAGAUCAGAUCUUCGUAGACAACCCCACCUCCCGGACAAAGCCCAGUACCUCCCAGGGUCGACAUUGUCGAAUAGUGUUUUUAAGGUGUGUGCUCUAAAUGAUUUCUCCCUGACAUCCUGGUAUCUGGGGCAGUCAAUGAGGAUAUGUUCCACGGUGAGCUGUUAUUCUAGUUAUCACAAAUGUGAAAAUCGAGAUGAGUGCUGUGCGAUGCAUAUCUGCGGUCCUGCGAGACCUUAACUUCGAAUAGUCCGGUGCAAAAAUGUUGCAUGCCAUCGUUCUUGUAGGCCUACUAACAUUAGAAAGAAAAGAAAUGUAUGAACUCAAAAAGCUGUGAAUAUCAAGUCUUCUAUGUCAACAUAAAUUUAUUUAACCACACAUUUGAGUUAAUAAAAAAAUGACACUAAAUCUAA